rnacentral:rRNA from 1 species
ACAUUGUUUUGAGUUUAAUUCUCGUUUUUUUCAUUUAUAAAAGUCGGAUUUUGUUUUUCUAAAUACCUUUUGCAUAAUGGCUUUACAAUAAAAUUUGAAAUCGGGGGUCCCGAAUUUGGGCGAGCUAGGGGGGGGGUCCUUUUAGGGUUUCAACGUGUGUGUAUCAAUACUUAGGUUUAAACUCCCCUUAGGGGUGACAUACUACACAAGCUUCAGGAUAUCUGGAUAUUAGGUAAAUAAAUGUAGUUUGUAAGAAAGAAGGGGAGUGUUUAGGCUUCCCUUUAUGAAAAUUUUUUUUUUUGAGCGCAUAUUGAUUUAAAAACAAAUAUUUUUUGGAAGCUAUCAUACUAUAAAAAAGAAUUUCGAUAGUACCUUUUACCACUUUUAACUUCUAGGGUUGUUUUUAAUGUAUAGAUAAGUAUUACUUAAAAAUAUUGUAAGCGAACUCGGCAAAAAUUCCCCUCGACUGUUUAACAAAAACAUAGCCAACCGGAUUAUGGUAGGUGAAACCUGCUCAGUGAUAUAUUUUAACAGCCGCAGUACUCUGACUGUGCUAAGGUAGCAUAAUAAAUUGGCUUUUAAUUGGAGUCUUGUAUGAAAGGAUAAACGGGGGGUAACUAUUCCAUAAUAUAAUUAAAAAAUUACUAAUGUGGUGAAAAUUCCCCAAAGGAUAAAAAAGACGAGAAGACCCCUAGAAUUUUUUAAAAAAGGGAAAUAAUCCUUUGUUUUGGCUGGGGCGGCAAAUUUUCAAAAAACAUAAUUUUUAAUAUUUCACAUGAACUUUUAGUGUUAGAUUAAAUUACCUUGGGGAUAACAGCAUAAUAUUUUAUGAUUGUGACCUCGAUGUUGGACUAGGAUAGGGCACCACUAGCCGUAGUGUCUAUAAGUUCUGUUCGAACUUUCUUUCCUACAUGAUCUGAGUUCAGACCGGCGCAAGCCAGGUCAGAUUCUAUCUUUUAUCAUCUUUAAGACAGUACGAAAGGACAACCUAAAGUUU